GUGAGGAAUUUGAGUGUGCAAGCCGUGAGAAAUGAUGGGUUUUUUGUGGGGUCUGUGAAUAGAAGUAAUGUUUCUGUUUAUGGAUUGGCUCAGUGUUGGGAGUUGGUGAAUGGGAGUGNNNNCGAGACUUGUCUGGCAAAUGCUGUAUCUAAGAUUGCCAAUUGUACUCCGAAGGAAGAAGGAAGGGUUUUGAAUGCUGGUUGUUACUUGAGAUACUCCAUUCAGAAAUUCUACAACAAUUCAGGGGCCCCUUCAGAAAGUGGAGGAAGCAGCCAC
rnacentral:misc_RNA from 1 species